AGGUAAGCUACUAAGAGCGAAUGGUGGAUGCCUUGACUGGUAAAGGCGAUGAAGGACGUACUAGACUGCGAUAAGCUACGGGGAGCUGUCAAGAAGCUUUGAUCCGUAGAUUUCCGAAUGGGGCAACCCAAUGUAUAGAGAUAUACAUUACCUAUAUAGGAGCGAACGAGGGGAAUUGAAACAUCUUAGUACCCUCAGGAAAAGAAAUCAAUAGAGAUUGCGUCAGUAGCGGCGAGCGAAAGCGCAAGAGGGCAAACCCAGUGCUUGCACUGGGGGUUGUAGGACUGCAAUGUGCAAGAGCUGAGUUUAGCAGAACAUUCUGGAAAGUAUAGCCAUAGAGGGUGAUAGUCCCGUAUGCGAAAAACAAAGCUUAGCUAGCAGUAUCCUGAGUAGGGCGGGACACGAGGAAUCCUGUCUGAAUCCGGGUCGACCACGAUCCAACCCUAAAUACUAAUACCAGAUCGAUAGUGCACAAGUACCGUGAGGGAAAGGUGAAAAGAACUGAGGUGAUCAGAGUGAAAUAGAACCUGAAACCAUUUGCUUACAAUCAUUCAGAGCACUAUGUAGCAAUACAGUGUGAUGGACUGCCUUUUGCAUAAUGAGCCUGCGAGUUGUGGUGUCUGGCAAGGUUAAGCAAACGCGAAGCCGUAGCGAAAGCGAGUCUGAAUAGGGCGCUUAGUCAGAUGCUGCAGACCCGAAACGAAGUGAUCUAUCCAUGAGCAAGUUGAAGCUAGUGUAAGAACUAGUGGAGGACUGAACCCAUAGGCGUUGAAAAGCCCCGGGAUGACUUGUGGAUAGGGGUGAAAGGCCAAUCAAACUUCGUGAUAGCUGGUUCUCUCCGAAAUAUAUUUAGGUAUAGCGUUGUGUCGUAAUAUAAGGGGGUAGAGCACUGAAUGGGCUAGGGCAUACACCAAUGUACCAAACCCUAUCAAACUCCGAAUACCUUAUAUGUAAUCACAGCAGUCAGGCGGCGAGUGAUAAAAUCCGUCGUCAAGAGGGAAACAACCCAGACUACCAGCUAAGGUCCCUAAAUCUUACUUAAGUGGAAAACGAUGUGAAGUUACUUAAACAACCAGGAGGUUGGCUUAGAAGCAGCCAUCCUUUAAAGAAAGCGUAAUAGCUCACUGGUCUAGUGAUUUUGCGCGGAAAAUAUAACGGGGCUAAAGUAAGUACCGAAGCUGUAGACUUGCACACAACUUAGAUUAUUUAAGUUUAGAAUAUGAGAAACUAAGUUAUAUGUUUAGUUAUAUUUUUACUGAUUUUUAUAGAGUA
rnacentral:rRNA from 1 species